UAGGGAAUAUUGGACAAUGGGGGCAACCCUGAUCCAGCCAUGCCGCGUGAAGGAUUAAGGCCCUCUGGGUUGUAAACUUCUUUUAUAGGGGAAGAAAUGUGACGGUUCUCCGUCACUUGACGGUACCCUGGGAAUAAGCACCGGCUAACUCCGUGCCAGCAGCCGCGGUAAUACGUAGGGACCAAGCGCUGUUCGGAUUUACUGGGCGUAAAGGGCGCGUAGGCGGCAAUUCAAGUCAGCUGUGAAAUCUCCGGGCUUAACCCAGAACAGCCAGCUGUUACUGCUUUGCUAGAGUGCGGAAGGGGCAAUCGGAAUUCUUGGUGUAGCGGUAAAAUGCGUAAAUAUCAAGAGGAACACCUGAGGUGAAGACGGGUUGCUGGGCCGACACUGACGCUGAGGCGCGAAAGCCAGGGGAGCAAAC
rnacentral:rRNA from 1 species